GAUGAACGCUGGCGGCGUGCCUAAUACAUGCAAGUCGAGCGAACGGACGAGAAGCUUGCUUUUCUGAUGUUAGCGGCGGACGGGUGAGUAACACGUGGAUAACCUACCUAUAAGACUGGGAUAACUUCGGGAAACCGGAGCUAAUACCGGAUAAUAUUUUGAACCGCAUGGUUCAAAAGUGAAAGACGGUCUUGCUGUCACUUAUGAUGGAUCCGCGCUGCAUUAGCUAGUUGGUAAGGUAACGGCUUACCAAGGCAACGAUGCAUAGCCGACCUGAGAGGGUGAUCGGCCACACUGGAACUGAGACACGGUCCAGACUCCUACGGGAGGCAGCAGUAGGGAAUCUUCCGCAAUGGGCGAAAGCCUGACGGAGCAACGCCGCGUGAGUGAUGAAGGUCUUCGGAUCGUAAAACUCUGUUAUUAGGGAAGAACAUAUGUGUAAGUAACUGUGCACAUCUUGACGGUACCUAAUCAGAAAGCCACGGCUAACUACGUG
rnacentral:rRNA from 1 species